rnacentral:tRNA from 1 species
ACCCUUGUAACUCAGUAGGUAGAGUACGCGACUUGAAAUCGCGGAGUCGGAGGUUCAAAUCCUCUCAAGGGUA